rnacentral:rRNA from 1 species
CAGUCGCCGCGGUAAUACGAAGGGGGCUAGCGUUGUUCGGAAUUACUGGGCGUAAAGCGCACGUAGGCGGAUAUUUAAGUCAGGGGUGAAAUCCCAGAGCUCAACUCAGGAACUGCCUUUGAUACUGGGUAUCUUGAGUAUGGAAGAGGUGAGUGGAAUUCCGAGUGUAGAGGUGAAAUUCGUAGAUAUUCGGAGGAACACCAGUGGCGAAGGCGGCUCACUGGUCCAUUACUGACGCUGAGGUGCGAAAGCGUGGGGAGCAAACAGGAUUAGAUACCCCCGUAGUCCCUGUCUCUUAUAC